UUUGGAUGUUUUGUCAUUGGGUGUGCUUGGUUUGAGUAGAUCUGAGGAUUUCUUGGUGGUACCAGAACUGGACUUGGUUGAAUUUGAGGCCUUUGAGGUGGAAUUGAGCUUCUUGAGCUGUUUCGUGGCAGAGAUAGUGGGUGUCGUUUUCGUGGAGUUUGAGGAUUUUGCCGUGGAAUUGAGCUUCUUUAUCUGGGCUUUGUUGAGGAUAGUGGGUGUCGUUUUGGUCGAGUAAGUGGAGGGUUUGACGAGUUUGGUUUGGUUCUUGCUGGAAGAGGUCCCAUCGAGCUUCUUCUUUGGUUGAUCUUCUUUCUGUACCUCUUUGACGAGUUUGGUCUGGUUCUUGGUGGACAAGCUAGUGCUGGGUGUCUUCUUGGGCUGCUCUUCUUUCUCAAUCUCAAACACUCUCCUCCUCCCAAGAAACUGUGUUCUCCGAGGUUGGGCCUCGGAGCAGGCACAAACAAGAGUAGAAGCAAAGAGAAAUAAAACAAGAUAGAGCACAAGUACCUGUCUGAAACUGAAGUACCGAAGUGGAGCCAUG
rnacentral:lncRNA from 1 species